UUGAAGCUGGGUAACUAUAUCAAAUGCUUAUCUAUUUCAUACCUUGUAUUUUUUAUCAAUCUGAUCUGUAUUUAGGAAAGGGGACAGUGCAGUUCUCAAAUGUGUGGGUCUGCAAACUUGCACACCAGCUGUCCUAGUCAGUAGUGAAGCUAACAGGGCUAAGGUGAAGGUAUUCAUGCUGUUGGAAAUACAGCUAGCUGCCUCGGGAGACUGCUUUGAGGAAGAUUGCAGCAAUAUUGAAUCCCCACUGUUACUCGGGGAUAUUGCUGUGCACAUAUAUAAUUUGUGUUAGAUAAAAUCAGGAAGUAAUAAAGGGGGGGAAAGAAGAGCUGUGAGAUCUACUCUAUACUGUGUUUUAUAUCUUCAGGAAAAAAAAAUAUCCAGGGAAUGUUGCUUUAAUUUGUGGGGGGGAAAGUGUGCUGCUUUAAAUCAGAAAACUUGCAUUCUACUAACUCUUUUAGUUUGGGAACCAUUUGGGUGUGUUAUAAAGUAAAGUUGCAGAGUAGGCAUGUUUACUAGACCUUUAAUUGCUACAUUUAGUAGAAAGGCUUUUUUUUUUUUUACGACAAGAAGCCAGAGUUUGCUGUGCAAAUGAAGCAGGCUUCGCAAGAAUCAGAUUCACUUUGGACGACUCUUCACAUUCCUAGUCAUCAUUACAUUAGGCAGCACAAUUCCAUCUCUGGUUGAUGGGCAGAAAAAGUGGGCAGCCUGCCAGGUAGACGUUUCCAUGGCUCCCAACCCCCAAAGGUGAUGCGUUUUUCAGCUAAUUCAAUGAAGAGUGGGCUGAACUUUGGGUAUAAACUAGACAAUAGCUGCCUUCGCAGUAUCAGCAGAAUGGUUUAUGGGAAUGCACUCCACAUUUGGCAGAGAAUCAUGUGACCUUACGGCUGAGAUUUUGUGAUGGUGCCAACGGAGACUUGGAAAGCAGUACCCGUUCUGACUUUUUUCCUCUUUUCUUACAUGGCUCAGAAAAUGGUGGAUCUUAAUACUUGACUUUAGCCAGACUCAGCAAGCGAUUGAGCUUUGAAGCACAACUUUGCCUUUAUUCUGGCUUUUUUGGCACACCACCAGGAGGCUGUCCCUUUCACGCCUGAUAAACUCUGCUGCUUAUCUCUAACUAGGAAAAAAUAUAUAGAGAGAUAGAUAGAUAGAUGUAUAUACAGAAUAUUUAGACUUCAUAGAAUUUUAAAACUAUAGGUUCUAUUUUUUUUAUUGCUGAACUGUGGUUUAUAAGAAUCUUUUUGACUGUCUGAAGAAUAAAAGUUCUUACUGUUUAAUGAACAGGCGUUUGAACUGGGCAAACGGGGCGACAGCACUGAACAUGAGAUCAUUGCAGCAUAGUGUAGCAAACUGGCACCCUGCCUUUUCACCCCUUUGCUUCGGCAGAUUUGUGCAAUCCCCAUUUAUAAAAUCAGCACAGGGGCUAGAUGAAUUUUCUGAUCUCUUCCACCUCUAUCACUGUGCAGGCACUUGCAACAAGGAUUGGUGCAGCUUUUGCGCAGUGCUUUGUGCUUGGAAUUCCGAGAAGAACGAAAAAGAAGACAGGCAUCCUGGUCCUAUUCCGAGAAAUAACAGGAGCCUAAGAAGAAACAAAUCUGAGUUUGUCCUAGAUACAAGAGUGAUGGAAAAAUGUGAAUCUCCUGCUUCAAAAAAAAAAAAAAAAUCUGGCAUGUUUAACUACAGAGACAUCAGGAUGUGUUAGAGCUUCUUAAAACAAUAUAACUAAAUGAGCCUAAGCAAUUGUUUCUUUUACUUACCAAAAAAAUCUGAAUUUUAUUUCAUUAUUGCUUAAAUAGCAAUAUUUGGCAGUGGGUGAAAACGUACCUUUCAUAUCAGUGCAAGGAAAAAUUAAAACAGAAAUGAAAAAUGAAGAUGUUGGUUAUACCAGAAAUCACUGAAGGCCUGAGCGCAAAUGUUUCUGGCAUGUUCAAGCAAGCUGGCCAGCACACCAGGAGCAUCAGGAAGAUGAUGCAGAGUCAACCACAGCACACUGUGUCCCAGACUGCCUGCACCAGAGUUCAGACAGUCUUGUCUGCUACCUGCUUUUGUCCCACAGUUGGGUGAGAGUCAUUCUGUAUUUUAUUAUUUUCUUAAUAUAUACACAUAUAUUCUAUUGCCAUUUACCAGUUACUGCCCUGAUCUGUGCAUUUUGAAGCUCUCAGCCAAACCACUUGAGCUUUUGUUUUCCGUGUUGGCCUUAUACUUAUCUAGGAAAUACAUACCCUCAUAUAACCAUUCAUUUCUCUCAUAUGAUCUUCUGCUUGUCUCUGGUUCACAUGUUUGAAUUUAUUUCCCUGUUGCUCCAUUCCUACUCCUUCACUUGCUGAUGACAAUUUUGCUAGUGACAAAGCCUCCAGAGACUGCAGAGUAGCACAGAUAAGACAGAUUUGGGUUUUGCAGAGGUUUGGGGUUUGCCCACAGUCAAGGAGUGCAAUGGGAGAUGAUGGAAGGAGAGGGAGGAAAGUGUCCUGGCCACAGGUGCACAGGGAGACAGGUGCUUAACCAAACUAAACCUGAACACAACCGGCAUGGAGGGGUUGUGUCUGCUCUUCCAGCCAAUAGACUGGAGCAGCAGUCUUGCGACAGGGCUGUAUGACACCCUAACCUUGGAUUCAAUGAGCAGAUAUGACAUCUUUAACCACUACGUAACUCCUCCUACACAGAGCCUGAAAACUUGGGUUUCAUAUAGGUGGACAGAUUUCAAACUAUGUUCUUGGAUUCUGAGCCUUCUGAGGUUUGCCCAUGCAUAGACCUGCCUUUCUAGUUUCUAGACAGAUCCACAGCUUUGAAAAUAGGUGAUUGAUAGUCCUUGAAAUGUAUUGUAUGUAUUUCACUUUGCAGUGAUAUGCACUGUGUAGAUCUGAGAGGAGAGUCAAUAGAACCCUUAGAAAUACCUUAUCUGCUACGGUCAUUAAACUUUGGUGUUGUGGAGGAGCUUGCUUAUCUAUAUUUUUCUUUAUUUAAAAAAAAUCUAAUCUUUCUGAUGAUUCUUAAAAAUAUGCUUUCAUCUUCUCUUUACAUAACUACCUCUUUGGGGUGAAAGUAGCUGAAACUCCAUGUGCAUUCAGGGCUGGUUCAAGGGUCUGCACAUUCUCAUGAGGCUGAUCAGCUGAGCAGAUGCACUGGAAUGCCCAUUCGCCCCUUGUAUGCCAUGGAAACAGACCCCUGUGAGGGUAAUCCAGGGUUUUCAUUACUCUAUGCAACUGGCUUUGAGGAGUGUGGCCACUAUUUUAGCCCAUAUUAAGUACCACUCAUGUUUAUCCUGACUGGAGGGUGGAUUCACCUCUCUGACCACUCUUACCUUUGCAGGGCUCGAAUCCUUGGGCUUUAUGCAAGUGAAGUGAAUCUCACCCUAAGUCUUUGAAUCCCCUGAUGUGACUUCCAACAGUGGCUGUGUUAACUUGUGCCAGUUCUGAGGAUGUCCUUCUGUGAUGUAGAGUGUUGUCCCGAGGAACUAGAUUGUGACCAAUGGCACCUCCUAUAUGUCAUUGAAUGUCUACCAGGUUGUGAAAAUGUUUGGCCUCUACCAAUCCAGGCCACAUUUAAUUAGCAAUGACCUAUAUGCAUUAAGAUUCUGAUUCCAUUUCUGAUUUCUUGAGCCUGAUGGUUUAUAUACAUUUUCUGAGGCAAGUAUUCUAAAGCACUAGGGGUUAGAUUUGGUAUUAUGGGCAGGCUUCAGGAUGCAAAUUUUAAUAAUAAACUGAAUCCUAUAUUGGUAAAGGAUUUCAUUAAUAUGCCUCAUUACAAUGUACUAGAAGAUUGCUGUUUUGCUGAAAUUAUUUGGCUUCUAGUCUAAAUAUCUUAUUAUUUAUAAGUUUUAUUGUUACCGUUAUUGACAUUUCUAAUGAAAACCAGGGCCAAUUUUUUUUUUUAAAUGAGUAACAAAUAAGUAACAAAGUUGGCACCUAAAUUCCUGUUUAGGGUAAAAAAUGUAAAAGCCUUUAAAUCUUGUUUUCAGAAACGUUUUAGGAACCUAAGUCCCAUUGAUUUACAAUAAGGCUUAAGCUCUUCAGCACUUUUGACAAUGGGACUUAGGCUCCUAAGUCAUGUAGUCACAUUUGAAAAUUUUCCCCUUCGGUUCAUAAAU